rnacentral:rRNA from 1 species
UACGUAGGGCGCAAGCGUUGUCCGGAAUUAUUGGGCGUAAAAGAGCUCGUAGGCGGCUUGUCACGUCGGGUGUGAAAGCCCGGGGCUUAACCCCGGGUCUGCAUUCGAUACGGGCAGGCUAGAGUGUGGUAGGGGAGAUCGGAAUUCCUGGUGUAGCGGUGAAAUGCGCAGAUAUCAGGAGGAACACCGGUGGCGAAGGCGGAUCUCUGGGCCAUUACUGACGCUGAGGAGCGAAAGCGUGGGGAGCGAACAGG